UCUCGGCCCUGCUGCACAAAGCGAUCGCAGCACUACGACAGUCAUAAGUCUAUGUUAAAUAUGGGAGUUACGAUCAUCUUUGCUCUUCGAUCGCUUUGUGAAAUUGGG